AUGACAAUCCCAACAAUAACAGAGGCUAUAACAAUAACGACAACUCCGACAAAAAUGACAACUCCGACAAAAAUGACAACUCCGACAAAAAUGACAACUCCGACAAAAAUGACAACUCCAACAAAAUCGAAUUGAAUGACGAAGAUGACAAUCUAUAUGACUACGUAGAUGAUAGUUUAAGAAUAUUCUAUCCAAAUUUAAAUGAAGAAACAAAAAGUUAUUUUUAUAAAUUUAUAGAUAUAAAAAAAAAGGACAAAGCAAAAGAUGUAUUGUUUAAUAACUAUUUUAGUACUCAUAUUUUAAAUAAGCGUUUAAAAAAUAUAACUGAGGAAGAAUUGAAACAAAAAUUGAAACGUGUCAGUGAUCAAUGUUUUGUGAAUAAUGACCCUAUUAUUCAGUUGGAUAUACCAAGUAACAAUCUUAUUAAUAAACAAGAAAAUUAUCAACCUAACAAUCUUAGUAAUAACAAAAACGAUGUUAUAAUACAUGAACAAAAAAAUAUAUUCACAGACGAUAAUACAGAAGUAGUUAAGUUAAAAAACGAUUUAAACGAAACAGAAAUUUCUAAUUAUUAUUUUAAUAAAAUAAAAAAUAAUAAUUUUGAAGAAAAAAAAAAAAUGAUAAAAACAAUAAAAAAUAAAAAAAUCCAAUUAUUAAAACAUAUUAUUAAUAGAGAUCCAAACGUUAAUCCUUAUAAUUUGAUAAAACUUGAAAAAGGUCAUGUAAAUGGAAGUGUAGAAGAGACAGGUGUUGUCGGGAAUGUAGAAAAGACAGGUGUUGUCGGGAGUGUAGAAAAGACAUGUGUUGUCGGGAGUGUAGAAAAGACAGGUGUUGUCGGGAGUGUAGAAAAGACAGGUGUUGUCGGGAGUGUAGAAAAGACAGGUGUUGUCGGGAAUGUAGAAAAGACGGGUGUUGUCGGGAGUGUAGAAAAGACAGGUGUUGAUAAAUUACUAAAAAGGAGUAACAACAUUUUUACUAGUACAACUGUUGAGCUUAGUCAGUAUAAUAAGUCUAAUAUACAUAACGAGCACUCACUUAAAGAAUUUGGAGACAAAAACGAUUUUCCACUCAUUGUCGAAACUAAAAAAAGUGUUGAUGUUAAUGAAAAAGAUAGUAAAGAUUACGACUACUCCAAUAGUAAUAAUAAAAAACAUGUAAGUUUUUGUAAAUCUAAGAUUAACGAAAUAAAAGUAUGUAUACUGGGAGAUAAGAACAGUGGUAAAACAACUCUAAUUGAAUCUAUCAUAAAAAAAAAUAUAAUUAAUGACAGUGAUGUUUUUGAGCUAUUUGGUAAAAGGAAAUAUAUUAACAAUGAUUUGAGCUUAUUUUAUAAAGAUAUAAAAAUUGAUAUAUUAGAUACUUGUAAUUUAAAAAAACAACAUCGAUUUUGUGGUGAAGACUUAUUUCAUGAUGAACAAAAUAGAGUUUAUAAUAAUAUAAGAAAAAGUGAUAUAUGCAUAUAUAUAAAAGAAGUAAAAGAAAAUUCAAUUGAUUUAAAAAGAGAAAAUAAAAAAAUGUUAUUUUAUUUAUUAAAAGAAAAAAAAAAUAUUAUUUUUAUUGUAAAUAAAAUUGAUUUAAUUGUUACAGAUUAUGAAAAAAAAAAAAAUGAAUUUUUAAAAAUAUUUUCAACACUAUUUAAUGACAUACCUGUUAUUUUUUUAAAUAGUAAUAAUAAUAAUCAUAUUAAUAUAUUACUUAACAAAAUAAUUAAUAUACAUAAAAAAAAUCAUUUAAUAAUCUCAAGUAAUAUUUUAAAUUUAUAUCUUAUGCAAUUUUUAAAACUUUUUCCAAUUCCUUGGGUAAAAAAAAAAAAAUGUAAUUUUAAAUUU
ensembl:lncRNA